UCGAUGGAGCUGCAGAGGGCGGUGUGGGAGAGGGAAAGCCCGCCCAAGAUGGCGCCGCGGCCCCGCGCUGAGGCGCUGGAGGGAGAUAGCGGGCUGGGAAAGCGGCUUCGAGGCGCUGGAGGGAGAUAGCGGGCUGGGAAAGCGGCUUCGAGGCACUGGAGGGAGAUAGCGGGCUGGGAAAGCGGCUUUUUCGGGCCGUUCGGGCGGCUUUAGCCCUCGGAUGGAUGCUGCCAGCCAGGAGCUCUUCUGCCUCGAGCUCUCUCUCAUCUCCCGCUUCCUGUGUCAGAGCUGCCCCGUGCUCGGGUGGGAGUCAGCCUGGGUUUCAUUUUGAUAAAGGCAUCUUGAGAAACAUCUUGAGAAAUGCAGCAAGUUGAAGCACAGGCUGGAAAAAAACACACCACCUCGCCUCUGAACGAUGGCCCCGGGCUUUGGUCCCUGGUGCCCUCAGCUCUCGGAAGGACACACUGGAGACAGCAGCAGAACAACCAGCAAAGGUCACCUAUCGUGGGCUGCAGGUCCAUAUAAAUCUGGUUAAAAGUAGCUGAAAACCUGUUGAAGGUAAUAGUAAACUUUCUCACUGCUGAACAUCAGAGAAAUGCCAGGAGCUCCUGAAUCUGUCCACAGAUAUGGAAAAGUUUAUUAGGUGAGCAGGAGCAGGCAGGGCAGAAGCAGAGCAAGAAAUGGCUGUUGGUGCAGUGUGACAAAGAGGAUUUAAACCCUCCCAUGUUGCCCAGGCCUUCUCCUAAGAAUCCUGGUGGCACAGUGCAAGGCAGCACUGGGACCUGUUGGGAAUGGUUUGCUUUUACCAUCUGUCUU